UUUCAUUCCCCUUACCCCUAUUUAAGACGGACUCCUAGAAAUACAUUGAUCAGUUCUAGUUCAACUUCAUUUUAACUUUGCAACCAGACGUCAACGGAAGCCCUGCUUCAUCUCAAAGUGUUGCACUUUUAUUUUGUACAUAGUGAUGAUGGUGUUAACCUGCAAUUGAGGUUCCACUUCGAAACCACAGUACUGUUGCAAUUAUCCAAUCAUCAUCAAUAUACCAAUUUUAUCUGUUAGCCGUCACAACCAUGCUUGCGGGAAAGAGAUAAAAGGGAAGGCUCGCAAACAGACAGUUGCAUCCUGGAUUUCUAUACCAAUGGAUGUUUUUAAUCUAUCAUUCUGCUGGAAGUUUUCUCGAGAGCACAAACGAGCCGAUUGAUGCAAGAGCUCUUCGGCGAUCGAGGAUAGAUCGCAUUCUUUUUUAGAUUUUCGUCUAUGAUUUCAUGUUAGAGUUGACAUUUUGUUAUCACUUCUUAGAGUGACCAAUAGACCUUUGAAUAUUUUGUCAUCUAUACCCAGGCAUAUAUUAUCUCUCCACACUUUUAGUGACGCAAUUUCGUUCAAGAUAUCCUCAACAAAGCGUAAACGUAUACGUGUUGGGUAUCGCAAACAGAGAGGAAAUUUCACUUCACAAGCGUACUAUUUUGAUGUCGAAGGCUUUCUCAGGAGGAGGAGGAUAAGAAAGAAAAGGAACACUGAGCCAACUGCUUCCUGUCUCCUCUGCUGGAUUUAAGCUGGAAGCUGAGGCAGAGCAAUCCCUUUCAGCUGCUCCACGACAGAAACUCUUAACCAAUCCACUCACCCGGAGAAAACAGGCAUUUUCUGCUUAAACGAAGAAAUCGCGCUAAAAUAGAAAAGAAGAUCCGCGCGCCUGAUCGAGCAGCAAGGGGCCGGGAAUAUAUAUUUUUUUUAUUUUUUGAUCUCUUCUUGGAUUCGAGAUAUAAAUAUCAUUCUUUGAUAUAGACUCAGUAUGGCUAAUGUGACGAUACUUGGUGGUUUAUUCGUCCUGCUCUUAUCAUUGGCAUGUGUACAAUCACAAUCUGGCUGUCCCCCAUGGCCCAUUGGGUGCCCCGGAAAGGUCAACCCUCAGAGGUGGGGUAAGAGAUCAUCAUCAUCAUUGACAUCUACCAAGUCAACAACAGAUUCACUACUCGUACAACAUAUCAGGAACGCAGCUAGACUACUCUUACAUAAAAACACAGAACGUUCGACGCCAUUUCCAAGUGAAGAGGAUGAAGUCAGGAGAAAGCUUUCGGAAAUCCUAGAUAAAUUGAAAUGGAAUUUAAAUCUUUGAAACUGGGCUACCUUUUCCCGAGGACUAAGUUUAUUUCUACUAGACCACCGUAAUUCAUCUCGCAGAAAGAAAACACACCACACAGUCCCGUCCAUGCCGACAUAACCAACACAGUGAACAUCUAUGGCAUCACACCUAUGAAGUGAAUGAAGGAAACACGCAUUUUCGUCACACUUCUCUAUAGAUCUGCCAAGCAUUGCAACAUGUCCUCUGAGUCGACCCAGUAACUUUCUCCUCUAAAUUGGAAAUCCUAAUCAUCCUAUAACGAGUCACAAUUAUUUAUCUAAACUACACAGUCGCAGUUUCUUCGUAAACAUUGCGAGUCACAUCAGACGCCAUUUCGUUGACAUCUUCUUUUUUAAUCGAUUCGACCAAAUCCGUCAUAUUGCCUGUUUCAGGCAAUAGGGUAAACCAAGUCAGGGAGACCGAGUCGUGUUACGCGUAGAUGUCAGAUUAUGAUCAGCGAUAUAAUGGCCUGUCGAACAACCAAUCUGACAGCUACAGCUCACUGAUGAGACAAAAUCGGUGGAUAGCAUCCCACUCAUACAAUUGGCGAUCAUCAAGUCAUCCUUCAUUUCGGUUUGGGUUUGGUUUCAUCAUCCGGUUCAUGGUUACAUUUAGUUGAUGUAGUAUACAACACCUAAAUUUCAACUGAAUUGUCACGUUAGAAAUUGAUCUAUUUAUUUACAUAUCAGUUAUUAAAUGAUUACUGUGGGGUAUGCGGAUAAUGUUAGAUACCACGAAGGCUUUUUAAAAUCUACUUUCCUUAUGCAUUUGAACUAGUUAAUCACAAAAUGAUCAAUCUUCACCUUUUUAUCAUGCUUCUUCUCAUGAAAAUUUAACUUUUACCCUUUUUAUGAAACACAAGAUUGGUCCUUACUAAAAUCAUCGAUAUGUUUUAUCUAAAUGUGAACAAAACAAAUAUAAAAGUAAUCCUUAUUUAGUAAUCCAGAGAAUUGUUAGAAGCCAAAUAAUGAAUUCAAGACUCUUGUAUACACAUUUGCUUAAAUGUAGAGUUAAGAGGAAGAAUAUUGUUAGUUGAGAGAAAAAGACAGAACUGUAUUUUCCCCUAAAAACAUUCUUUUGUGUGUCACUUUUAUAAAAGAAUUGCUAAUUUUGCACGUCACGUAAUCUACAUAUCAUAAAUUAGAGACAUAGUUUGGUCAUUUAAUGUUGAUUAAUUUGGGCUAAGUAUUUGAUUUGAUUUGAUUUGAUUUGAUUUAUUUACUUC